rnacentral:rRNA from 1 species
UACGUAGGGGGCAAGCGUUGUCCGGAAUCAUUGGGCGUAAAGAGCGUGUAGGCGGCUCGAUAAGUCUGCUGUGAAAGUCCAGGGCUCAACCCUGGAAGGCCGGUGGAAACUGUCGGGCUAGAGUCCGGAAGAGGCGAGUGGAAUUCCCGGAGUAGCGGUGAAAUGCGCAGAUAUCGGGAGGAACACCAAUGGCGAAGGCAGCUCGCUGGGACGGUACUGACGCUGAGACGCGAAAGCGUGGGGAGCAAACAGG